rnacentral:rRNA from 1 species
AUUGAACGCUGGCGGCAGGCCUAACACAUGCAAGUCGAACGAGUGGCGGACGGGUGAGUAAUGUCUGGGAAACUGCCUGAUGGAGGGGGCUAACUACUGGAAACGGUAGCUAAUACCGCAUACCAUCGGAUGUGCCCAGAUGGGAUUAGCUAGUAGGUGGGGUAAUGGCUCACCUAGGCGACGAUCCCUAGCUGGUCUGAGAGGAUGACCAGCCACACUGGAACGGAGAACGGGUCCAGACUCCUACGGAAGACAGCAGUGGGGAUUAUUGCACAAUGGGCGCAAGCCUGAUGCAGCCAUGCCGCGUGUGUGAAGAAGGCCUUCGGGUUGUAAAGCACUUUCAGCGGGGAGGCGUUACCCGCAGAAUAAGCACCGGCUAACUCCGUGCCAGCAGCCGCGGUAAUAC